AUGCCUGCUGCUGUUUGGAAGGGUUGGGCCCCUCCGAAAUGCAAAUUUUUUGCUUGGUUGAUAAUUCAAAACAGAGUUUGGACAGCUGAUCGAUUGCACCGUCGUGGAUGGCCGAACUGCAACCUCUGCCCGCUUUGCAAGCAAGUCCAGGAAACCGCAGCACACCUUCUCUUCCAAUGCAGGUUCUCCCAGCGUGUCUGGAUCGAGGUUGCAACAUGGCUUGGUAUACAUGGUGAUGUGGUGAGGAGCUGGCGAAAUGAGGUUUCGGUUCGAGAAUGGUGGAUUAAAAAUGUGGUUGAGCGUGGAGAUAAGAGAAAGGCUAUCGCCUCCUUGUUCAUGCUCAUGUCUUGGGAGAUUUGGAAAGAGCGUAAUGGAAGGGUUUUCCGUAACAUCGCCGCUACGACGAUGAUGCUCAUCGCGAAGAUAAAAGAGGAGGCCCAUCUUUGGGCUAUUGCCGGUGCCACCCACUUGAGUAUUGUAAUGCCGCGAGAGUAG
rnacentral:rRNA from 1 species